UCCAGUGGUAGUCAGCUGUCCAGUGCCGUCCAUGCCUGUGACUGUGUUACACUGCUGGCAGAUAAAGUCACUACUUCUUCAUGCUGGUGGCCGCGGUUGCCGUUCUGGUGACAUGUCCCCCCAGCAUCUAGUAGUGUUGUGAUUCCUUGAGAGUGUGCCUCACAGGGCCUUCUGUUUGGUGCUAGUCUGGAAUUACACAGA